CCAAUAGCGUAUAUUAAAGUUGCUGCAAUUAAAAAGCUCGUAGUUGAAUUUCGGGAUCAAUAUGUUGGUCGUGCCUUGGUACGUACUAGCUUAUUGAUUUCUCCCUUCUGAUGAACCAUGAUGUCAUUAAUUUGGUGUCAUGGGGAAUUAGGACUGUUACUUUGAAAAAAUUAGAGUGUUUAAAGCAGGCUCACGCUUGAAUACAUUAGCAUGGAAUAAU
rnacentral:rRNA from 1 species